rnacentral:rRNA from 1 species
GACGGACGCUGGCGGCGUGCUUAACACAUGCAAGUCGAACGGAAAGGCCCUGCUUUUGUGGGGUGCUCGAGUGGCGAACGGGUGAGUAACACGGGAGUAACCUGCCCUUGACUUUGGGAUAACUUCAGGAAACUGGGGCUAAUACCGGAUAGGAGCUGCUGCUGCAUGGUGGGGGUUGGAAAGUUUCGGCGGUUGGGGAUGGACUCGCGGCUUAUCAGCUUGUGGGUGGGGUAGUGGCCUACCAAGGCUUUGACGGGUAGCCGGCCUGAGAGGGUGACCGGCCACAUUGGGACUGAGAUACGGCCCAGACUCCUACGGGAGGCAGCAGUGGGGAAUAUUGCACAAUGGGCGGAAGCCUGAUGCAGCAACGCCGCGUGCGGGAUGAAGGCCUUCGGGUUGUAAACCGCUUUCGCCUGUGACGAAGCGUGAGUGACGGUAAUGGGUAAAGAAGCACCGGCUAACUACGUG